rnacentral:rRNA from 1 species
AAAAAGUUGGGUUGUGAAAUCCGAAGCUUAACUUCGGAACUGCAAUCAAAACUUUUUAGCUAGAGUAUGAUAGAGGAAAGCAGAAUUUCUAGUGUAGAGGUGAAAUUCGUAGAUAUUAGAAAGAAUACCAAUUGCGAAGGCAGCUUUCUGGAUCAUUACUGACGCUGAGGAACGAAAGCAUGGGUAGCGAAGAGGAUUAGAUACCCUCGUAGUCCAUGCCGUAAACGAUGUGUGUUAGACGUUGGAAAUUUAUUUUCAGUGUCGCAGCGAAAGCAAUAAACACACCGCCUGGGGAGUACGACCGCAAGGUUAAAACUCAAAUGAAUUGACGGGGACCCGCACAAGUAGUGGAGCAUGUGGUUUAAUUCGAAGAUACGCGCAGAACCUUACCAACACUUGACAUGUUCGUCGCGGCUCUAAGAGAUUAGAGCUUUCGGUUCGGCCGGACGAAACACAGGUGCUGCAUGGCUGUCGUCAGCUCGUGUCGUGAGAUGUUGGGUUAAGUCCCGCAACGAGCGCAACCCUCACUUUUAGUUGCCAUCAUUUAGUUGGGCACUCUGAAAGAACUGCCAGUGAUAAGCUGGAGGAAGGUGGGGAUGACGUCAAGUCCUCAUGGCCCUUACGUGUUGGGCUACACACGUGCUACAAUGGCAUUUACAAUAGGAAGCAAGAUGGCGACGUCAAGCAAAUCCUAAAAAGAUGCCUCAGUUCGGAUUGUACUCUGCAACUCGAGUACAUGAAGCUGGAAUUACUAGUAAUCGCGGAUCAGCGCGCCGCGGUGAAUGCGUUCCCGGGUCUUGUACACACCGCCCGUCACACCAUGGGAGUUGGUUCUACCUUAAGGCAAGGUUUUAAACCCUUGACCACGGUAUAGUCAGCGACUGGGGUGAAGUCGUAACAAGGUAACCGUA